rnacentral:rRNA from 1 species
AACGUAGGAGACAAACGUUAUCCGGAGUUACUGGGCGUAAAGGGCUCGUAGGCGGCCAACUAAGUCAGACGUGAAAUCCCUCGGCUUAACCGGGGAACUGCGUCUGAUACUGGAUGGCUAGAGGUUGGGAGAGGGAUGCGGAAUUCCAGGUGUAGCGGUGAAAUGCGUAGAUAUCUGGAGGAACACCGGUGGCGAAGGCGGCAUCCUGGACCGACACUGACGCUGAGGAGCGAAAGCCAGGGGAGCAAACGGG